rnacentral:rRNA from 1 species
GACGAACGCUGGCGGCGUGCUUAACACAUGCAAGUCGAACGGAAAGGCCCUGCUUUUGCGGGGUGCUCGAGUGGCGAACGGGUGAGUAACACGUGUGUAACCUGCCCUUGACUUUGGGAUAACUUCAGGAAACUGGGGAGAAUACCGGAUAGGAGCUCCUGCUGCACGGGGGGGGUUGGAAAGUUUCGGCUGUUGGGGAUGGACUCGCGGCUUAUCAGCUGGUUGGUGGGGUAGGGGCUUACCAAGGCUUUGACGGGUAGCCGGCCUGAGAGGGUGACCGGCCACAUUGGGACUGAGGUACGGCCCAGACUCCUACGGGCGGCAGCAGUGGGGAAUAUUGCGGAGUGGGCGGACGCCUGAUGCAGCGACGCCGCGUGCGGAAUGACGUCCUUCGGGUUGUAAACCGCUUUCGCCUGUGACGAAGCGUGAGUGACGGUAAUGGAUAAAGAAGCACCGGCUAACUACGUG